AAGACUAUAGACCUGCGGAGUACCUGCGGAGGGAUCAUUACCGAGUGCGGGCCCUCUGGGUCCAACCUCCCACCCGUGUUUAUUGUACCUUGUUGCUUCGGCGGGCCCGCCAUUCUGGCCGCCGGGGGGCUUGCCCCCGGGCCCGCGCCCGCCGAAGACACCCUCGAACUCUGUCUGAAGAUUGUAGUCUGAGUGGAAUUAUAAAUUAUUAAAACUUUUAACAAUGAAUCUCUAGAUCGG
rnacentral:misc_RNA from 1 species